rnacentral:rRNA from 1 species
GAGUUUGAUCCUGGCUCAGAUUGAACGCUGGCGGCAUGCCUAACACAUGCAAGUCGAACGGUAACAGGUCUUCGGAUGCUGACGAGUGGCGGACGGGUGAGUAAUGCGUAGGAAUCUGUCUUUUAGUGGGGGACAACCCAGGGAAACUUGGGCUAAUACCGCAUGAGCCCUGAGGGGGAAAGCGGGGGAUCUUCGGACCUCGCGCUAAGAGAGGAGCCUACGUCCGAUUAGCUAGUUGGCGGGGUAAAGGCCCACCAAGGCGACGAUCGGUAGCUGGUCUGAGAGGACGACCAGCCACACUGGGACUGAGACACGGCCCAGACUCCUACGGGAGGCAGCAGUGGGGAAUUUUUCGCAAUGGGGGCAACCCUGACGAAGCAAUGCCGCGUGGAUGAAGAAGGCCUUCGGGUUGUAAAGUCCUUUCGUGGAGGACGAAAAGGUGGGUUCUAAUACAAUCUGCUAUUGACGUGAAUCCAAGAAGAAGCACCGGCUAACUCCGUGCCAGCAGCCGCGGUAAUAC